rnacentral:rRNA from 1 species
CCUACGGGUGGCAGCAGUGAGGAAUAUUGGUCAAUGGACGAGAGUCUGAACCAGCCAAGUAGCGUGAAGGAUGACUGCCCUAUGGGUUGUAAACUUCUUUUAUAAAGGAAUAAAACGAGGCACGUGUGCCUUGUUGCAUGUACUCUAUGAAUAAGGAUCGGCUAACUCCGUGCCAGCAGCCGCGGUAAUACGGAGGAUCCGAGCGUUAUCCAGAUUUAUUGGGUUUAAAGGGAGCGUCGUUGGGUUGUUAAGUCAGUUGUGAAAGUUUGCGGCUCAACCGUAAAAUUGCAAUUGAUACUGGCAGUCUGGCGUACAGUUGAGGUAGGCGGAAUUCGUGGUGUAGCGGUGAAAUGCUUAGAUAUCACGAAGAACCCCGAUUGCGCAGGCAGCUUACUAAACUGUGACUGACAUUGAUGCUCGAAAGUGUGGGUAUCAAACAGGAUUAGAUACCCGGGUAGUC